UACGAAGGGGGCUAGCGUUGUUCGGAUUUACUGGGCGUAAAGCGCACGUAGGCGGAUCGUUAAGUCGGGGGUGAAUCCUGGAGCUCAACUCCAGAACUGCCUUCGAUACUGGCGAUCUUGAGUCCGGAAGAGGUGAGUGGAACUCCUAGUGUAGAGGUGGAAUUCGUAGAUAUUAGGAAGAACACCAGUGGCGAAGGCGGCUCACUGGUCCGGUACUGACGCUGAGGUGCGAAGCGUGGGGAGCAAACAGG
rnacentral:rRNA from 1 species